ensembl:lncRNA
UUUUUUUUUUUUUUUUGAGACAUAAUCUUGCUCCCUCACCUACGCUGGAGUGUAAUGGCACGAUCUCGGCUCACUGCAACCUCUGCCUCCCAGGUUCAGGCAAUUCCCCUGCCUCAGCCCCCCAAGUAGCUGGGACUACAGGCAUAUGCCACCAAACCUGGCUAAUUUUUUUUGUAUUUUUAGUAGAGGGGGGGGUUUCACUAUGUUGGUCAGGCUGGUCUCGAACUCCUGACCUCAAGUGAUCCACCCACCUCAGCCUCCCAAAGUGCUGGGAUUACAGGCAUGAGCCACCACACCCAGAUAAAACAUGGGAUUUUAUUAGGGGCUUACCUACAGGGGAGAGAGUCAUGUAGCAUGGGCUGGACAGAAGAACCUCCUUACAUACAGCCCAGUGGCAGCAGGCUGGACAAGACAUCCACCUUAACUACAGUGCAGUGAUGGCAGGCUUGACAACAUAUCUAUACUGCCCAGUGGCAGCGGACUGGGCAGAAAAACCACAACUGCUUGCAAACAGCAUGCAGUUUAUAUAGCUUUUUCACUUAAAACCCUCCCCUUAAGGACCUCCACCUGACAACCUUCAUUUACCCCAAAACUCAGGGUCUUGAUCCCCUAUACAGGCCGAUCCCCUGUACAACCGAUGUUCCACGUAAUGGAAUGGGGCCCAGAUGUUCCUCACAGACAAGGGUUGGCCACUCCCAGAUUCCCUAGCUCAAAACACACAUUCAGGUAUGUCUGCCAAACAAGGUUAUUCCAAGGGUAUGCUUAAAUUACUGAUAUCAGGUGUAUUUACAGAGUAUACAAAAUUAAGUCUCAGAAUCUGUAGUAAUACCAAUCUUAGCUAGCCAAAAGAAAAUUUAGCUGUCAAUACUAAAAAAGUGCAGUAUGUAUAGUGGCCAAGACUAGCACAUUGAUAGUGGAUGUAAACUAAAAAAUAAGUUUUUGAGAUAAGGUCUCGGUCUGUCACUUAGGCUGAAGUGCACUGGAGUGACUGCUCAUUGCAACCUCUGCCUCCCAGGUUUCAAGUGAUCCUCCCACCUCAGCCUCUCAAGUAGCUGGGACUACAGAUGUGCGCCACCACAUCUGGCUAAUUUUUGUAUUUUUUGUAGAGAUGGAGUUUCGUCAUGUUGCACUCAAAUGAUCGCCAACUGCACUCAAAUGAUCCACCUAACUCAGCCUCCCAAAGUGCUGGGAUUACUGACAUGAGCCACUGUGCCCGGCCUUAAUGUAAUUUCUUGAUUCUAGACCUCAUCAACUGAUUAAAAGGCAUACCUUUAAUAACAGCCUUUUGAAGAGAAAUACUACCAUAUUAGAUGCACACAAUUUCAAAACUUAAAAUGCAAAGAGGUAUGCCUCUUAUAAUUGAGAAAAUAGGGAUUUUAGGAAACAACACCUAAAUUGUUGUUAAGUUUGUCUAACCAACACCUAUCAUUUAUUUGUUCCAAAUUUUUCUAACUCAGAGUUGAACAAAAACAAUACUCCUGUGCUGUGUUAGCUUGCUUAGAAAAAAAAAAAAAAAAAAGGGUGGGGGGGUGGUAGGGGGAUGGGGUGAUACAUGGUGGCUCCUACCUGUAAUUCCCAGAACUUUGGAGGCUGAGGCGGGUGGAUUGCUUGAGCUCAGGUGUUUGAGACCGGCCUGGGCAACAUGGUGAAACCCCGUCUCUACCAAAAACAGAACAAAUUAGUCAGGCGUGGUGGCAUGUGCC